GUGCCAGCAUCUGCGGUUAAUCUGUUUUCUUUGCUUUUAUGUGGAUAGUGCGUAUUUAUUUAUGUUCAAUGUUAGGUUAAAUUUUUUUGUGUUAGUGUUUAGUAAGUAAAUUUUGUGGUGAUAUAUAUGAUGACAGGGAUUAGAUACCCCAUUAAUGUAUUUUUAAAAUGUUGUCCUGGUUUUGUAACUAAAAUGGUUUGGCAGUGAGCGAUUCUUGUUAGGGGAAGAUGCAUAGUAAAGGAUGGUCCACCUAUUAUUUUGCUCUUGUUAUGUUGGUGUAUAUCUGGUUUGAUAUUAUCGUUUAAUGGUUUGAGUUUGUGUAGUUUUAGUUAAGCCAAGUCUAUGUGCUGCUUAUAGGAGUUUUUGUGUGUUACAUUAAUAAGGGUGUUAUUGUAAUAUGAUAUUAUUUAGGACUUAAUAG
rnacentral:rRNA from 1 species